rnacentral:lncRNA from 1 species
CUAGCCAAUGUACUCUACCAGCAUUUCAAUGCCUGCUAGUCAAUAACAUUUAUUACAGUAGAAGGGAAACCUGUGAUGAUCUUCCUAAAUGCUGUGCCGGGUGAAUAACAAACACAAGAAGUGUCUUGACUGGAUAGAGGAUCUUCACACCUUUUGACAGAUGCACUAUAUACACAGAAAAUGUAGCGAUAUUUUUCCAGCCAUGAGUCUCAGCCUCUGUAUGAACAUCAAAGGAAACAUACCCAGAAUAUUCAGCUAGAUGAAGAGUGUGAAUUCAUCACAGAUUCCUCCUCAGCAUCUGCCUAGACUUAAAAUAAGCAGAUCCAGAAAGAUUACUGCGUCAGAAGCGGGGAGAAUCCUGCCGAAGGUGAACUGUCUCAUUCCUGAAUGCUGCCAAGAGGUGAUGAGCAGACAUGCAGCAGCCUUCCUGCUGGACUGGAAUACAUAAGCUUGGGACAAGAGACAGCCUUACAGGUGUUGUCUCUCUCUGCACUGAUUAUAACUGGGUGAGUGACUCAGAAAGGACACUACAGGGCAGCUAAAACCAAGCUGAAGGAGUUUCUGCUCUUACUAAACAAGUUUUGACCUUGGAUUCUUCACAGUUGACAGCAGCCAUGGAGCCCUUCAGAGCCUUUGGAGGCAUCUCCUGAUCAAUGAGGCACAAUGAGCUCAAAGCUUCUGCCCAAAGGCACACAAGUGUCUUCAAGUGUUCUGUUUUCAGGAGCAUCCAGAGCUUAAGAACAACCUCUUUAAACAUGGGUUGUAUGUCAAAAAUGUGAUAUGAUCUUGGACAUCUGGCAAGUAUAUGUAUAUGUUUAAUUGAGAGAAUAAACAUUCCUCAAAAAUCA